GACGAACGCUGGCGGCGUGCUUAACACAUGCCAGUCGAACGAAGAGCGAUGGAAGCUUGCUUCUAUCAAUCUUAGUGGCGAACGGGUGAGUAACGCGUAAUCAACCUGCCCUUCAGAGGGGGACAACAGUUGGAAGCGACUGCUAAUACCGCAUACGAUCUAAACUCGGCAUCGAGGAUAGAUGAAAGGUGGCCUCUACAUGUAAGCUAUCACUGAAGGAGGGGAUUGCGUCUGAUUAGCUAGUUGGAGGGGUAACGGCCCACCAAGGCGAUGAUCAGUAGCCGGUCUGAGAGGAUGAACGGCCACAUUGGGACUGAGACACGGCCCAGACUCCUACGGGAGGCAGCAGUGGGGAAUCUUCCGCAAUGGACGAAAGUCUGACGGAGCAACGCCGCGUGAGUGAUGACGGCCUUCGGGUUGUAAAGCUCUGUUAAUCGGGACGAAAGGCCUUCUUGCGAAUAGGGAGAAGGAUUGACGGUACCGGAAUAGAAAGCCACGGCUAACUACGUG
rnacentral:rRNA from 1 species